UACGUAGGGGGCGAGCGUUGUCCGGAUUUACUGGGCGUAAAGGGCGCGUAGGCGGCCUGUUAGGUUGGCUGUGAAAUCUCUGGGCCCAACCCAGAGUAGUCGGCCAAGACCGGCGGGCUAGAGGGUGGUAGAGGAAGGUGGAAUUCCGGGUGUAGUGGUGAAAUGCGUAGAGAUCCGGAGGAACACCAGUGGCGAAGGCGGCCUUCUGGGCCAUACCUGACGCUGAGGCGCGAAAGCGUGGGGAGCGAACCGA
rnacentral:rRNA from 1 species